rnacentral:lncRNA from 1 species
CUUAUCAAUCAAGUUUGUGAGACCAUGAUUGGAAAAGCGUUUGUUAUUCUUAUCUUGACAAGUCAGGUCUUGUCAAAUGAAUGUGGAUCCCUUAUUAGUUCUUGCACUGGAGAUUUGCCAAAAAAGUUCCUUGGCUGGUUUCUUUUUGGAAUUAUAAAAUUUCAACAGAAAGUAAUGUACGGAUAAUAGAAUCAUGCAACGGUUUAAUACUUGAUCAGUAUAACAUAUUAACGGUUGCUACAUGUGUUGAUCCAAACCUCACAAUUCAAGUUUAUGCUGGUCCAGGAUCCCGCGGUCAGAAAUUGGAAAUUAAAAAUAUUCAUAGACAUGAAAAAUUUCAGGCUAUUACUUAUAAGAACAAUAUUGCUUUAGUUACUUUGAAAAAACCCAUUGACUUUACGGAAGGCGCCUCAGCCGUCUGUCUACCAGAAAAAACAGAGACUCCACAAGGCAAAAACUUUUCUUAUCUGGGUACGCCAGAGGAGGAGAUGGAUUAAAAGUAUCGAAGGUUAAGUUCAUUAAAGAUCGAGCUAAUUUGUGUAAAAAUGCUAGAAGAAGACUUGAAAGGCCAAAUUCAGACAAAGAAUUUUGUACAAUGUCAGAAAAUAUUGGAGAGUGCACAAGAGAGAAAGGUUCAGGUCUUAUAGGAAAAAGCAAAAUAACUGGAAAAUGUACAUUAUAUGGUUUGUUAGCACCUAUGGCUUAUUGUGAUAGAAAAUAUGGUAACGUCGCAGCAAAUAUUGCUCAAUAUCGUGAUUGGAUAGAUGAGAAUAUGGAGAAAAAAUAAAAAAAAUCAAUAAUUAAAUUUUUUAAUGAUUUUUAAUAAAUUUAUCAUUGCUAACAGAA